CUUAUUGUCUCUGUUGGGCUUGAACUUUGUGAGAGGAGGAACAGGAUUUCUUCUCAUCUCCGAGACCUCCCACAGUGCUUACAAGCUCCUGUGUGCACAGCAGAGACUGAACGAGUAGUUAGUAACGCAGAUGACAUGUGAGGACCUGAACCGAGUACCAUGUGGGAGCACUCUCCGAUGACAACCAGUGAACAGGGAAGGAUCUCCCGAUGUAGCCCAGACUAGCCCCACUUCAGGCUCCUUACAUUUUGACUGAACUGAAACACCUUGAGAACCCAGACAAACAGAAUGAAGACAACAGGAAGUUGGCUGGAGCUUCAGGAAGCCACCUCAGAGGUGGCCUCAGAGAAAAACCAGUGUGGUGAGCUCAUGACAUGCGCAGGUGAUAAGAAGCACCACAGAAGGAAAAACCUGGCCAGUGUCACUAGUUUCCACAGUUCAAGGAAACGAAAAUAGCCCAGGUGGCAGAGAGACUUGUGUGUGUGGGAAAUUAUUCAAAGGCUGACAGAUGGGCUGGUGGUCUCCUCUCCUGCUAGCCUGGCUGUCUUGGCGUGGAAAGUCUUGCCUGGGAGCUGGGUCGCAGCAGCUACAGUGAAAUACUGGAAAUGAAAGCCAGCCGGGACAGAUCUAACAGCAGUGAGUCACAGAAAACCAAGAGCCAUCAGAUGCUCAGGAGGGAAGCUGAAGCCAGGAGACAGCUGAGCUGAGCAGGACACCCUGCUGUGACUAGCACAAGGACUGGAGUGUUCCAGUCAGGAGGAUUGGGCUCCUCAUCUCAGAAGCUGAGGCUGCACACAUGGAACUCCGGCUUUGCCCCAAGAUCAGGGGCACAAAACCCUGCCUAUUUCUGCCCUCGAGGGUGCCAGCCGGGCACACUCGCUCCUCCCCAGGCAUUGGCAGGGGUUUGGGGGCCUUGGGGAUUCUGAUACUUCCUGAGUAAAGCUAGGUGAGCAAUCUAGCAUCAUCGGGGUCCCAGCCCCCCACCCAAACCACCCUCCUUCAGGGCUUGAAAAUCUAGACCCUGCCUUCACAGGCUCUGUGCGCUGAAACCUUUUCCUGAGCAGUUUGUAAACUGUUGGCUCUUAAAUUUUUCCGGUUUAACUGGAUGGGCUAGUGCCUGAGGCCAUGCACUCAAGACCAUGGUUCCAAAGCUAGAAAAGAUAGGCCAUCCAGGGUCCCUAACCUCUCCUUAUUCAGGUCUGGUGGCCUUGGAGGAUCCUACCUCAGGCUGCUACACAGCCCAUGGUGGCAAAACACAAAUAAACUUGGGUAAUUUUUUUUUCCUCUCACAGGCCACAGUCGAGCUUAUUAAAAUUGGAUGACAGUAAACCAAUGACUAACUGGGUAAUUAAAACCACAAGGCUGGGAUCUCUGGGGCGCAGUUCUCUAAGCCAGUGUCCUCAUCUUUCCCUCAGCCUUUGUGAAUUUGAAACUCCCCAUGUGACCCCCACCCCUCUCAAGGCCAUUUUUCUGCUCAUCCAUGACUGUAUCCCCACUCCCUCGUCUGCUAUAAGGAUCAAGGGAAUCUAACCCCUCAGCUGAAGCACAGCCCAGAUUUCCAACAGACCAAGGCUCCUCAGCCUCUGAGCUUCCUGCCAGGAAGCCGCUUCUCUCUUUCUGUUCCAUGGAACUUUGGCUUCAAGCUCUCCGAGCCUCCCAGUUUCCUCAGGAGAGUGAGCUAGGAACUUCAACGUGACUCAAGCCACAGCUGAGAAGCCCAUGGGCUGCUUUAAACAGUGAUGUUUACAAUGCCCUCCAAGGCACUUCUAUGUUUCUACCUUUAAUAUAGGCUUAGGAGUUCCCACCUGCCUGUGGCAUGCUCUGUGGUGUCUCCCCACACCAAAGCCUCAUUCUCUGGCCUCCCUGCUCCCUUCUUUCCAACCAGAUACCCUACUCCCUCUUGGAGGUGUCCAAGGGCUAGACUUAAGAUAAAAAUGGUACUGUGGUUGCAACGUGCCCCCAGCAUUCACGUUCUGGGAACUCAAUACCUAGUGUGCAACAAAUAUCCAGGAUGUCCUCAGGGCUGAAACCCCAUCCCUCAGGAGGCUAAAGCAGGAAGAUUCUGAGUUCAAGGCCAGGCUGGGUGACAUAGUAAGUUUGAGCCCAGCUUGGGCUACAGAGUGAGACCCUGCCUCAAAAAAACAAACAAAAAGGAGGCAUUAAAAGGGCUUUUACAAGGGACCUUUAUGAGAACUUUUAACAAGCCCACUCCUGUGAUCGUUACUGUAUUAGCUUGGCUCUUUUGUUUCAUGAUGCCUUCAGCCACGUCAUGCUGCUGCAAGAAGGCCCUAAACAGCUUCAGCCUGCCCAGGCUGCACUUCUCAGUCUCCAGAACCAGGGGCCAAGUGGAUUCUUUAAAAAUACAUUACCAUUAUUGAUUAUCAUGCAUUUGCAUAGUCUACGUGUAGUGGGCAUGUGGGGCCAGCUCUCUCCUUCUCUCUUUAAGUAGGUUCUGGGAGCCCUGCCAGAUGAUUUUUGUUCUUUAUAAAUAACCCAAACUGUGAUAUUCUGUUACAGCAGCACAAAAUGGACUAAGACCGGUAGGUUACAUAAUUUUUAUACACUAUCCUUGAAUAGGUGGGUGAGUGUUUUAAUUUUUAGAAAUAGGGCCCAAGAGAGGACUUAGUAGGUAGAAGCACCUGUAUUCUGGUGCACACAAAGUGUAGAAACAAAUUAAGGAGACAAAUUAAAGCCACUUCCUGUACUCAAGAUGGCAUGUGUGUGUGUUUAGGUUAAAUGCAUGUUGAGAGACUGUGUACAUGUGACAGUAUCUCUGACCACCAGACACUAGUUUUCUCCACUUUUGUGACUCUUAGCUUCUGAGCCUCCUGUCCUCACAGUGUAAAAGACACGGCCAGCCCGAUGAGCCCUUAGGAAGCCGGCAGGCUGGCAAAGGCAUCUGAGACACAUCCUGACAGAUUCUAAACAAAACUGAAAAGUAUAAAGACGCUCAGCCUGUGAUGUGGCCCCAAACUGUAGAGCUGUGUCAGAUGUCCCUGCUGCCUAGGGGACCACUGGAGAUGCCAGCUUGGAGUCUCUUUGCCACAGUUGUGUUUUCCCGGCGGGGAGUGAGAAAGGCAGCGUGACUCUGAGCAGCAAUGACUGUGAGCACGCUUUAGACUCGGAAGACUGCAGGGCGGUGACAGACAGAGCCACAGAUACUUGUGGUCAUCUCUUCCGCAGAGUGAUUUUCCUCAUCCUCUUUCACCCAAUUUCAUACUUCAGGUUUUUUUUUAAUCAUUAAAAUUAAUCUUACA